rnacentral:rRNA from 1 species
AGAGGGUGCAAACGUUGUUCGGAAUUACUGGGCGUAAAGCGCGUGUAGGCGGCAACGCAAGUCGGAUGUGAAAUCCCAUGGCUCAACCAUGGAAGUGCACCCGAAACUGCGUUGCUAGAGUCUCGGAGAGGAAGGUGGAAUGCUUGGUGUAGAGGUGAAAUUCGUAGAUAUCAAGCGGAACACCGGUGGCGAAGGCGGCCUUCUGGACGAGUACUGACGCUGAGACGCGAAAGCGUGGGUAGCAAACAGGAUUAGAUACCCUGGUAGUCCACGCCGUAAACGAUGAGUGCUAGGUGUCAGAGGCUUUGACCCUUCUGGUGCCGAAGCUAACGCGUUAAGCACUCCGCCUGGGGAGUACGGCCGCAAGGCUAAA